UACGGGGGGGGCAAGCGUUAAUCGGAAUUACUGGGCGUAAAGCGUGCGCAGGCGGUUCGUUGUGUCUGCUGUGAAAUCCCCGGGCUCAACCUGGGAAUGGCAGUGGAAACUGGCGAGCUUGAGUGUGGCAGAGGGGGGUGGAAUUCCGCGUGUAGCAGUGAAAUGCGUAGAGAUGCGGAGGAACACCGAUGGCGAAGGCAACCCCCUGGGCUGACACUGACGCUCAGGCACGAAAGCGUGGGGAGCAAACAGG
rnacentral:rRNA from 1 species